GACGUAGGGCGCAAGCGUUGUCCGGAUUUAUUGGGCGUAAAGAGCUCGUAGGCGGCUUGUUGCGUCGUCCGUGAAAACCCGCAGCUCAACUGCGGGCUUGCGGACGAUACGGGCAGGCUGGAGUUCGGUAGGGGAGACUGGAAUUCCUGGUGUAGCGGUGAAAUGCGCAGAUAUCAGGAGGAACACCGGUGGCGAAGGCGGGCCUCUGGGCCGAUACUGACGCUGAGGAGCGAAAGCGUGGGGAGCGAACAGG
rnacentral:rRNA from 1 species